GACGAACGCUGGCGGCGUGGAUAAGACAUGCAAGUCUAACGGGACAGACCGAGUAGCAAUAUUUGGAAUGUUCAGUGGCGAGCGGGUGCGUAACACGUGGAUAACAUUCCGGAAAGCGGGGAAUAGCCCAGGGAAACUUGGAUUAAUACCGCAUGUGGCCGCAAGGCUAAAGACGGGGACCGCAAGGCCUGUCACUUUCCGAUUGGUCCGCGGCCUAUCAGCCAGUUGGGGGGGUAAUGGCCCACCAAGGGUACGACGGGUAGCUGGUCUUAGAGGACGACCAGCCACACUGGGACUGAGACACGGUCCAGACACCUACGGGUGGCAGCAGUCGAGAAUCUUUCACAAUGGGGGCAACCCUGAUGGAGCGACGCCGCGUGGAGGAUAAGGUCUUCGGAUUGUAAACUCCUGUCAUGCGAGAACAAGGUACUCAGGCUAAUAACCUGAUUGUUUGAUGGUACCGCAAGAGGAAGAGACGGCUAACUCUGUGCCAGCCGCCGCAGUAAGAC
rnacentral:rRNA from 1 species